rnacentral:rRNA from 1 species
UACGGGGGGGGCAAGCGUUGUUCGGAAUUACUGGGCGUAAAGGGCUCGUAGGCGGCCAACUAAGUCAUACGUGAAAUCCCUCAGCUUAACUGGGGAACUGCGUGUGAUACUGGAUGGCUUGGAUUUGGGAGAGGGAUGCGGAAUUCCAGGUGUAGAGGUGAAAUUCGUAGAUAUCAGGAGGAACAUCGGUGGCGAAGGCGGCCUCCUGGACACUUACUGACGCUGAGACGCGAAAGCGUGGGGAGCAAACAGG